GGGAGGCAGCAGUGAGGAAUAUUGMGCAAUGGAGGCAACUCUGACCCAGCCAUGCCGCGUGCAGGAAGACGGCCCUAUGGGUUGUAAACUGCUUUUAUACAGGAAGAAACACUCCUACGUGUAGGAGCUUGACGGUACUGUAAGAAUAAGGACCGGCUAACUCCGUGCCAGCAGCCGCGGUAAUACGGAGGGUCCGAGCGUUAUCCGGAAUCAUUGGGUUUAAAGGGUCCGUCAGGCGGUCGAUUAAGUCAGAGGUGAAAUCCCAUAGCUCAACUAUGGAACUGCCUUUGAUACUGGUUGACUUGAGUUAUAUUGGAAGUAGAUAGAAUGUGUAGUGUAGCGGUGAAAUGCAUAGAUAUUACACUAGAAUACCGAUUGCGAAGGCAGUCUUACUACGUAUGUACUGACGCUGAGUGGACGACAGCGUGGGGAGCGAACAGGAUUAGAUACCCUGGUAGUCCACGCCGUAAACGAUGGAUACUAGUUGUUGGGCAUUAUKCUCAUGUCGACUACAGCCGAAAGUGAUAWGUAUCCCUACCUSGGGAUGUACGGUCGCGAUUGA
rnacentral:rRNA from 1 species